GCGCACUACCACGAGGAGGANCGUCCCAAGGUAUAGUCCAUGAUUGGGGUG
rnacentral:rRNA from 1 species